AUUGGCCAAGGUGGUGCAUGCCUCUAAUCCCAGCUACCAAGGGACUGAGGCUGGUGAGUCUCUUGGGCCUAGGAGUUCUCAGCUGCAGUGGGCCAAGCCAGUCAGGUGCCUGCACUAAGUCUGGCAUCAGUAUAGUGAGCUCCUUCCAUGUGGAGAGCCACCAGGCUGCUUAGGGAGGGGCAAACCAUUCCAGGUCAGAAACAGCAGGUUAAAGUGAUCAUGCCUAUCAGUAGUGGUGGGAAGGAACCGUGAAUAGCUCCUACACUUCCAGCCCAGGGAGAUUCAGUCUUU
rnacentral:SRP_RNA from 1 species